rnacentral:rRNA from 1 species
UAGAUUCAUCUCGAUAGCAUCGGCUAUCGUGCCAGCAGCGCGGUAAUACGGAAGAUGCAAGUGUUAUCCGGAUUUAUUGGGUUUAAAGGGUGCGUAGGUGGUCUAAUAAGUCAGUGGUGAAAUCUCUUUGCUUAACAAGGAAAUUGCCAUUGAAACUGUUAGACUUGAGAAUGGACGAGGUAGGCGGAAUUCGUAGUGUAGCGGUGAAAUGCAUAGAUAUUACGAAGAACUCCAAUAGUGUAGACUGCUUACCAGACCAUAUCUGACACUAAGGCACGAAAGUGUGGGUAUCAAACAGGAUUAGAUACCCUGGUAGUCCACACAGUAAACGAUGAAUACUAACUGUUUGCGAUAUACAGCAAGUGGUCGAGCGAAAGCGUUAAGUAUUCCACCUGGGAAGUAUGCCGGCAACGGUGAAACUCAAAGGAAUUGACGGGGGCCCGCACAAGCGGAGGAACAUGUGGUUUAAUUCGAUAAUACGCGAGGAACCUUACCCGGGCUCGAACGAUAUUUGAAUACAUCCGAAAAGAUGUAGCUAGCAAUAGCAAAUACCGAGGUGCUGCAUGGUUGUCGUCAGCUCGUGCCGUGAGGUGUCGACUUAAGUGUCAUAACGAGCGCAACCCUUACCGAUAGUUACCAUCAGAUAAUGCUGGGGACUCUAUUGGGACUGCCACCGUAAGGUGUGAGGAAGGAGAGGAUGACGUCAAAUCAGCACGGCCCUUAUGUCCGGGGCGACACACGUGUUACAAUGGGAGGAACAAAGGGUCGCUACCUGGCAACAGGAUGCUAAUCUCGAAAAUCUCUCUCAGUUCGGAUUGGAGUCUGCAACUCGACUCCAUGAAGCUGGAUUCGCUAGUAAUCGCACAUCAGCCAUGGUGCGGUGAAUACGUUCCCGGGCCUUGUACACACCGCCCGUCAAGCCAUGGAAGCUGGAAGUACCUGAAGUAUGUAACUGAAAAGAGCGUCCUAAGGUAAA